UAUGGCUAUACAAGCUUGCCAAGUGUUCUUGCAUCUCAACAGGGCAAGACAUUGGCUUCCACUCCCCAUCCCUACUCGUUGCUGGCUGGAAUGUAGAAGAGGUAGAGAAAUAUCUUCGAUCACAGAGCAUCUUCCCAUUGGCAGAGCAACAAACCGGAAGUACCCUCCAUGCCCUAUUCCACAAAUAAGUUGUUG
rnacentral:lncRNA from 1 species